GCAUAUCAAUAAGCGGAGGAAAAGAAACCAACCGGGAUUGCCUCAGUAACGGCGAGUGAAGCGGCAACAGCUCAAAUUUGAAAGCCCGCGGGCGUUGUAAUUUGCAGGCGGAUGUUUUGGGGCGGGCGCUGUCUACGUUCCUUGGAACAGGACGCCGCAGAGGGUGAGAGCCCCGUGCGAUGGCGCCUCCAACCGCGUAAAACUCCGCCGACGAGUCGAGUUGUUUGGGAAUGCAGCUCCAAGUGGGUGGUAAAUUCCAUCUAAAGCUAAAUACUGGCGAGAGACCGAUAGCGAACAAGUACAGUGAUGGAAAGAUGAAAAGCACUUUGAAAAGAGAGUGAAACAGCACGUGAAAUUGUUGAAAGGGAAGGGUAUGCGAUUAGCGGCCAGCAGGAGGUGCCUUCUCGUGAAAAGGCCGUGCACCGUCUUCGGACACCGUGCGCGGAGAUGGCGAGGGGGCGCCUGAGGUCUGCGACUCGAGGUUGCUGGCGUAAUGAUUGCAUACCACCCGUCUUGAAACACGGACC
rnacentral:rRNA from 1 species